rnacentral:rRNA from 1 species
UACGGAGGGUGCAAGCGUUAAUCGGAAUCACUGGGCGUAAAGCGCGCGUAGGCCGCUUUCUAAGUCGGACGUGAAAGCCCUCGGCUCAACCGGGGAACUGCGUUCGAUACUGGGAGGCUUGAGUCCUGGAGAGGGUGGCGGAAUUCCGGGUGUAGGAGUGAAAUCCGUAGAUAUCCGGAGGAACACCGGUGGCGAAGGCGGCCACCUGGACAGGUACUGACGCUGAGGCGCGAAAGCGUGGGGAG